rnacentral:rRNA from 1 species
GACGAACGCUGGCGGCGUGCUUAACACAUGCAAGUCGAACGGAAAGGCCCUGCUUUUGUGGGGUGCUCGAGUGGCGAACGGGUGAGUAACACGUGAGUAACCUGCCCUUGACUUUGGGAUAACUUCAGGAAACUGGGGCUAAUACCGGAUAGGAGCUCCUGCUGCAUGGUGGGGGUUGGAAAGUUUCGGCGGUUGGGGGUGGACUCGCGGCUUAUCAGCUUGUUGGUGGGGUAGUGGCUUACCAAGGCUUUGACGGGUAGCCGGCCUGAGAGGGUGACCGGCCACGUUGGGACUGAGAUACGGCCCAGACUCCUACGGGAGGCAGCAGUGGGGAAUAUUGCACAAUGGGCGGAGGCCUGAUGCAGCAACGCCGCGUGCGGGAUGACGGCCUUCGGGUUGUGAACCGCUUUCGCCUGUGCCGAAGCGUGAGUGACGGUAAUGGGUAAAGAAGCACCGGCUAACUACGUG